GACGGACGCUGGCGGCGUGCCUAAUACAUGAAGUCGAGCGAGACUCUUCGGAGUCUAGCGGCGGACGGGUGAGUAACACGUGGGCAACCUGCCUGUAAGACUGGGAUAACACCGGGAAACCGGUGCUAAUACCGGAUAAUCCUUUUCCUCUCAUGAGGAAAAGCUGAAAGCCGGUUUCGGCUGACACUUACAGAUGGGCCCGCGGCGCAUUAGCUAGUUGGUGAGGUAACGGCUCACCAAGGCGACGAUGCGUAGCCGACCUGAGAGGGUGAUCGGCCACACUGGGACUGAGAAACGGCCCAGACCCCUACGGGAGGCAGCAGUAGGGAAUCUUCCACAAUGGACGAAAGUCUGAUGGAGCAACGCCGCGUGAGCGAUGAAGGCCUUCGGGUCGUAAAGCUCUGUUGUUAGGGAAGAACAAGUACCGGAGUAACUGCCGGUACCUUGACGGUACCUAACCAGAAAGCCACGGCUAACUACGUGCCAGCAGCCGCCGUAA
rnacentral:rRNA from 1 species